rnacentral:rRNA from 1 species
GAUGAACGCUAGCUACAGGCUUAACACAUGCAAGUCGAGGGGAAACGAUAUUGGAAGCUUGCUUCCGAUAGGCGUCGACCGGCGCACGGGUGAGUAACGCGUAUCCAACCUGCCCAUCACUUGGGGAUAACCUUGCGAAAGUAAGACUAAUACCCAAUGACGUCUCUAGAAGACAUCUGAAGGAGAUUAAAGAUUUAUCGGUGAUGGAUGGGGAUGCGUCUGAUUAGCUUGUUGGCGGGGUAACGGCCCACCAAGGCGACGAUCAGUAGGGGUUCUGAGAGGAAGGUCCCCCANAUUGGAACUGAGACACGGUCCAAAACUCCUACGGGAGCAGCAGUGAGGAAUAUUGGUCAAUGGGCAGAGCCUGAACCAGCCAAGUAGCGUGCAGGAUGACGGCCCUAUGGGUUGUAAACUGCUUUUAUAAGGGAAUAAAGUGAGUCUCGUGAGACUUUUUGCAUGUACCUUAUGAAUAAGGACCGGCUAAUUCCGUGCCAGCAG